rnacentral:rRNA from 1 species
UACGUAGGCAGCGAGCGUUGUUCGGAGUUACUGGGCGUAAAGGGUGUGUAGGCGGUUAUUUAAGUUUGGUGUGAAAUCUCCCGGCUCAACCGGGAGGGUGCGCCGAAUACUGAAUGACUUGGAGUGCGGGAGAGGUGAGUGGAAUUCCUGGUGUAGCGGUGAAAUGCGUAGAUAUCAGGAGGAACACCGGUGGUGUAGACGGCUCACUGGACCGUAACUGACGCUGAGACACGAAAGCGUGGGGUAGCAAACAGG